rnacentral:lncRNA from 1 species
AUUAUCAAUUCGGAUGAGGUGCAGUCUGUUGUUAGGCCAAUCAAGAAGGAUAAUAAGAGGGCUACUUUGAAGAAGAAUCCAUUGAAGAAUCUGAAUGUGUUGCUGAAGCUCAAUCCUUAUGCUAAGACUGCUAGGAGGAUGUCCCUUUUGGCUGAGGCACAGCGCGUUAAGGCCAAGAAGGAGAAGCUCGACAAGAAGAGGCACCAAAUUACAAAGGUAUUAAUCUUUAGUAUAUUUGCCUAAUCUUAUAACUUGCGAUAAUGAGAUGCUUAUGUUUCGGUUAUUGUUAAAGAAUUAAUUGUAAUUAUUUGCCCUUAGAGCAUGUUAAAUUGAGUAUAAAUACAUGAUUAAAGAAGUAAAAAGAAAAUAUUUGCUCAUAGAAUCAUGUUAAGGUAACUCCACUUGUGAGAUUGCCCUGAGUAUGAUGAUGUUGUAGUAUAAAUACAUGAUUAAAGAAGUUGAAAGAAAAUAUUUGCUCAUAGAAUCAUGUUAAGUAACUCCACUUGUGGGAUUGCGCUGAGUAUGAUGAUGUUGUUGUAGAAUUAUGUUUUAAGUAUUGUUGUAUAUUAUGCAGUAGUCUUAAAAAAGGGGGUAUGAUUUAGGUAAAAUUUGGUUUUGCUGAAGAUAAUUAUGGUUCUACUUUUGUGCUGUUUAUGGCUUGUGAGUAUAAUUUCUGAAUCUAUUAGUAGUACUGGACAGUCUUCCAUUUUCUGUCACCCUUAGUUGUGCAGCUCAAUUGUAGAAAGUAGACGUCUGUUUUUGCACAUGGUAUACUUGAUUGUUUUAUUUCAUAAAACAAUCUUGGUUUAGUCAUGUUUCCUUCAUUCGAGUGUGACACGUGGAGGUGAUAAGAAGAUGUUUAUUACUAUUGUGGUUCUUAAGUAUUGUGGGAAGUUAUUGCUUUCUCGGGUUUUAAGCUAAGAUCGAGUGGCAAAUUUAUCAAAAAGUUGUUUCAAAGCGUUGAACUGUGUUUGGCUAUGUUGUGAAUUUGGUAAGUGCGGCAAAGAUGGUCAGGUGCUUGGGAUUAGAAAUAGUGUAUCUAGAUAAUAAGGGUGUUGCUUUCACGCUGUUUCUAUUGUAUUAUUUGUGGUCUGAUGUGAAAGUUUUCUAUCAUUUUUGAGAAGUUCCUCUAAUCUUGUUUAAAUUCUUGUACGCUGAAUAAUACCGUCACAUGUGCAUAACUCUUUGUAUAUCUUAGAGUUGUCACCCAUUUUGUCGUUCUCAAAAGAACUUCAUUGAAACUGUGCAUAAACUUUCUGAGCUGCACCACGCAUACAGCUUGCACUGUUUUCCUGAUUCCAUUUUUUUUGGUUGUAGGAGGAGGCAUCAGCUAUCAGGAGUGCAAGCCACUCGUGGUACAAGACAAUGAUCUCAGAUUCCGACUAUGCAGAGUUCGACAACUUCUCAAAGUGGCUCGGAGUUUCUCAGUAAAGGGACUUCUAUUUAUGAGAAUCAUGUUAGAGAGUAUUUUGUUUACUUGUUUGUUUAGUCUGUUCUUUUGUUCUACUUUGGUGGUCCAAGACAUGAAAGAUAUUGAGCGGGAG